rnacentral:miRNA from 1 species
UUACCAACAGGCGGGCCUGUGU